UACGUAGGGUCCGAGCGUUGUUCGGAAUUACUGGGCGUAAAGCGCGUGUAGGCGGCCCUGCAAGUCGGAUGUGAAAUCCCACGGCUCAACCGUGGAAGUGCAUUCGAAACUGCAGGGCUAGAGUCCUGGAGAGGAAGGUGGAAUACUUGGUGUAGCAGUGAAAUGCGCAGAUAUCAGGAGGAACACCAGCGGCGAAGGCGGCGCUCUGGGCCGGUACUGACACUGAGGAGCGAAAGCGUGGGUAGCAAACAGG
rnacentral:rRNA from 1 species